GCGGGCGUGGCGGAAUUGGCAGACGCGCUAGAUUCAGGUUCUAGUGGCCGCAAGGUCUUGGAGGUUCGACUCCUCUCGCCCGCA
rnacentral:tRNA from 1 species